rnacentral:rRNA from 1 species
GUAACACGUAAAGAACCUGCCCUCAGGUCUGGGAUAACCACGAGAAAUCGGGGCUAAUACCGGAUGGGUCAUCGGACCGCAUGGUCCGAGGAUGAAAGGCGCUUCGGCGUCGCCUGGGAUGGCUUUGCGGUGCAUUAGCUAGUUGGUGGGGUAAUGGCCCACCAAGGCGACGAUGCAUAGCCGACCUGAGAGGGUGAUCGGCCACACUGGGACUGAGACACGGCCCAGACUCCUACGGGAGGCAGCAGUAGGGAAUCUUCCACAAUGGACGAAAGUCUGAUGGAGCAACGCCGCGUGAACGAUGAAGGCCUUCGGGUCGUAAAGUUCUGUUGUAAGGGAAGAACAAGUGCCGCAGGCAAUGGCGGCACCUUGACGGUACCUUGCGAGAAAGCCACGGCUAACUACGUGCCAGCAGCCGCGGUAAUACGUAGGUGGCAAGCGUUGUCCGGAAUUAUUGGGCGUAAAGCGCGCGCAGGCGGCCUCUUAAGUCUGAUGUGAAAGCCCCCGGCUCAACCGGGGAGGGCCAUUGGAAACUGGGAGGCUUGAGUAUAGGAGAGAAGAGUGGAAUUCCACGUGUAGCGGUGAAAUGCGUAGAGAUGUGGAGGAACACCAGUGGCGAAGGCGACUCUUUGGCCUAUAACUGACGCUGAGGCG